UUGUUUAGAUUUUCUGCUCAUGGUUUUAUAUAAAUAGCCGCAGAAUUUAACUGUGCUAAGGUAGCAUAAUCAUUAGUUUUUUAAUUAAAAACUAGAAUGAACGAAAUAACAAUUCAACAACUUUUUUAAUUUUAAUUAUAAAAAUUUUAUUAAAUAUAAAAAUAUAUUUAUAAAUAAGAAAGACGACAAGACCCUAUCAAACUUUACUUUAGUUUAGCUGGGGCAGCUAAUUAAAAAUAAUUUUAAUACUAAUAUUUUUAUAAAAGACCCAAUAUAAAUUGAUUAAAUGAACAAGUUACUGUAGGGAUAACAGCGUUAUAUUUUUUUGAAGUUCUUAUUUUAAAAAAAGAUUGCGACCUCGAUGUUGAAUUAUUUAACUUUAAAAAGCAAAAUUUUUAUAAGUAGGCCUGUUCGGCCUUUAAAUUUUU
rnacentral:rRNA from 1 species